ensembl:rRNA 5S_rRNA 5S ribosomal RNA
GCUAGCAGCCAUAUCACCCUGCAAUUCACAACUGGUAACCCACUGAAGCUAAGCGGGUGUGAGCCUGGUCAGUACCUGGAUGGGAGGCCUCCUGGGAAAAACUAAGGUUGCUGCUGGAA